AGAACGAACGCUGGCGGCAUGCCUAACACAUGCAAGUCGAACGGGCCCUUCGGGGCUAGUGGCGCACGGGUGCGUAACGCGUGGGAAUCUGCCCUUAGGUUCGGAAUAACUCAGGGAAACUUGAGCUAAUACCGUAUAAUGACUUCGGUCCAAAGAUUUAUCGCCUAGGGAUGAGCCCGCGUAGGAUUAGCUUGUUGGGGAGGUAAAGGCUCACCAAGGCGACGAUCCUUAGCUGGUCUGAGAGGAUGAUCAGCCACACUGGGACUGAGACACGGCCCAGACUCCUACGGGAGGCAGCAGUGGGGAAUAUUGGACAAUGGGCGAAAGCCUGAUCCAGCAACGCCGCGUGUGUGAAGAAGGCCUGCGGGUUGUAAAGCACUUUUAGUGGGGAUGAAAGUACAUCGCUAAUACCGGUGUAUCUUGACCUAACCCAAAGAAAAGCACCGGCUAACUCUGUGCCAGCAGCCGC
rnacentral:rRNA from 1 species